AAAGCUCAAAUUUAAAAUCUGGCGGUUCUUGUGGCCGUCCGAGUUGUAAUUUAGAGAAGUGUUAUCCGCGCUGGACCGUGUACAAGUCUCCUGGAAUGGAGCGUCAUAGAGGGUGAGAAUCCCGUCUUUGACACGGACUGCCAGGGCAUUGUGAUGCGCUCUCGAAGAGUCGAGUUGUUUGGGAAUGCAGCUCAAAAUGGGUGGUAAAUUCCAUCUAAAGCUAAAUAUUGGGGAGAGACCGAUAGCGAA
rnacentral:rRNA from 1 species